CAUCUAGAUGAUUGUGACGGUUCCCCUUCCGGGGAUCAAAAGGGAAUGCGGUGCGGACCUCUUCGGAGGACCAAUGCCGCAGCUGUUCCCGCAACUGUAAGCGGUUCGACUUUCGUCGGAAUGCCACUGGGAAACUCGGUCCUGGGAAGGCGACGAAAGCUAACACCCGCGAGCCAGGAGACCUGCCGUCAUUCGUGGUCACACG
rnacentral:ncRNA from 18 species